GACGAACGCUGGCGGCGUGCUUAACACAUGCAAGUCGAACGGUGAAGCUCCAGCUUGCUGGAGUGGAUCAGUGGCGAACGGGUGAGUAACACGUGAGCAACCUGCCCCUGACUCUGGAAUAAGCGCUGGAAACGGCGUCUAAUACUGGAUACGAGAAGGGUCCGCAUGGGCACUUUCUGGAAAGUUUUUCGGUUGGGGAUGGGCUCGCGGCCUAUCAGCUUGUUGGUGAGGUAAUGGCUCACCAAGGCGACGACGGGUAGCCGGCCUGAGAGGGCGACCGGCCACACUGGGACUGAGACACGGCCCAGACUCCUACGGGAGGCAGCAGUGGGGAAUAUUGCACAAUGGGCGAAAGCCUGAUGCAGCGACGCCGCGUGAGGGAUGACGGCCUUCGGGUUGUAAACCUCUUUCAGCAGAGAAGAAGCGAAAGUGACGGUACCUGCAGAAGAAGCACCGGCUAACUACGUG
rnacentral:rRNA from 1 species